UGAAUGUCAAUCAAACAGUCAAAGUCAAUUCGACAUUUUGUUAUGUUUUGACACAUUUGAAAUUUGAGCUAUUUGUUUUAAUUUAAAAAGAAAAAAGAAAAUAGUUUUAUCAUGUUAAUAAACACUCUUUUUUAAGGGGGAUUUAAAAAUUUUGGACAUAAAAGACAACCACAAUCUCGGUUCACAACGCUUUGGCAUGGUUUUCUUACAUUCUCAUUUAUUGGUAUGGGAAUAGAAUGGAAAAGGAUAGCAAGAUUCCUUUAUGGUGAAAAUUCUGAGAAUGAAACUCCUCCAAUAGAAUAAAAAAAUAUUUUUGUACAGAAUAAUUAGUGUAAAAUGAUUAUGUCGUCCUAAAAUUGAUAAAAUAUAUUAAGUUAACACUGUUUUGUAUUAUAUAAUUAAUAUUACUAUAGUAGUUACAAGUUUGAUCAAACCGGCUUAUGAUUUUAUGAAUUGUUAUUGUUAACUAUUCAUGUUAGAAAAAUAGAUAGGCAUACUUACAUUUGAAAACAAGGGAUUCCUUAUAAAAUAUCUAAUUAUAUAUAGCUAAAAAUAAUAA